rnacentral:rRNA from 1 species
AUUGAACGCUGGCGGCAGGCUUAACACAUGCAAGUCGAACGAGUGGCGGACGGGUGAGUAAUGCUUGGGAAUCUACCUUAUGGAGGGGGAUAACUACGGGAAACUGUAGCUAAUACCGCGUACCAUAGGAUGAGCCCAAGUGGGAUUAGGUAGUUGGUGAGGUAAAGGCUCACCAAGCCGACGAUCUCUAGCUUGUCUGAGAGGAUGACCCGCUACACUGGGACUGGGAAACGGCCCAGACUCCUACGGGAGGCAGUAGUGGGGAAUAUUGCGCAAUGGGGGGAACGUGACGGAGCCAUGCCGCGAUAAUAAAGAAGGCCUUAGGGCUGUGAAGUUCUUUCGAUAGCGAGGCUUUAACCGCAGAAGAAGCCCCGGCUAACUCCGUGCAAGCAGCCGCGGUAAUAC